rnacentral:tRNA from 1 species
GGGUCGUUAGCGAAGCCUGGUUAUCGCGUCUCCCUGUCACGGAGAAGAUCACGGGUUCGAAUCCCGUACGACCCGCCA